rnacentral:rRNA from 1 species
AUUGAACGCUGGCGGCAUGCCUUACACAUGCAAGUCGAACGGUAACAGGGAGCUUGCUCCGCUGACGAGUGGCGAACGGGUGGUAAUGUAUCGGAACGUACCAUUCAGUGGGGGAUAACGUAGCGAAAGUUACGCUAAUACCGCAUAUUCUGUGAGCAGGAAAGCAGGGAUCGCAAGACCUUGCGCUGAUUGAGCGGCCGAUAUCAGAUUAGCUAGUUGGUGAGGUAAAGGCUCACCAAGGCGACGAUCUGUAGCGGGUCUGAGAGGAUGAUCCGCCACACUGGAACUGAGACACGGUCCAGACUCCUACGGGAGGCAGCAGUGGGGAAUUUUGGACAAUGGGGGCAACCCUGAUCCAGCCAUGCCGCGUGAGUGAAGAAGGCCUUCGGGUUGUAAAGCUCUUUCGGCCGGGAAAAAAUCGCAUCAGUUAAUACCUGGUGUGGAUGAUGGUACCGGAAUAAGAAGCACCGGCUAACUACGUG